GGGGGGGGGGGGGGCUCCGAGGUCCCCCAGGAUGCCCGGCCGUGACUCCUGGGGCUGGCACCCAGCUGGCCUCCCCCCAGUUUGUUCCAUGGCGCAUCCAGGGUCUUCACUGGGCAGGAGGCCGUGGAGGGACGUGCACCGCGCCUUCCUGGCAGCUGAGGACCGCGCCACUUGCUAAAGGAGGGACACAGCUGGACCUUUGGAAAUGACAGCGGCUUGGCCGUGGGUCAGACCUGGAGGAGGGGAGGGUGUGGCCGUGUGCAUGGAGGUGGCUGAAAGGCUGGGCAUGGGACAGGCAGCCCUGGCGUGACCUUGGGCUGGUGGCCAUUGGCUGUGCUGUGCUCUCAACACCAACACAUCGCCACCACCCGGCCCAGCACCUGCCCUGCAGGGCCCUGGAGCCACCUCACAGGGGAAGCGUGGAGGCUGAGCGAGGGCCCAGAGGCGGUGCCUUCCCCCAGGCCGGGUCCAGGUUCGACUCCCCAGCUCAUAGAUGAGGCGGACACUGGGCGCUGGGCGUGCUGCCCUCCCUCCCGGGGCCUGGGGGCUGGGCUGGCUACGUCAGGCCCCUUCUGCUCUGAAGCACGUGGGGGUCCACCUGACUGGGAGUGGCACCCCCUCCAGUGUGGGGGCCCUCCCACUCCCCCGGCCUCUACCUGCACCUGCGUGGUCUGUGCAGAAGCCCCGCCUACCCGCCGUGCUGCAAGUGACCACAGGCCCGCAUCUCACCAAGCUUCACCCCAGACCGCCAGCCUGGAAGGGCCGACGGUUCAGCUGGGACUCUGGCCCGGGACACAGCCUGUGGAUUUGCCCUGUCCUCCCAGUGUCCCCGAGGGUGGCCAGUGCCCAAGCCACGUCCCCCAAAGGCAAACGCGAGGGCCUGGGAACCGGGACGGAUGGAGGACCAGCCUUUCCCCGGAUCCAGCUCAGGGAAGGCUCAGAAUACUGGCCCCUCCAUCCUGCAGCCCUGGACGCGGGGCUCCAGGUGUGACCUGCCUUCUCUGAUAUACGCUGAUGUAGGCGUCACCAGCCCGCCACCACGAGGACCCAGGCCACUGCCAGGGGCUGGAGGGCUGGUGGCGUCAAGUCCCCGCGUGGAUGAGGCGCGGAGGCCAAGCCCCCAUGACCGUAAGAGUGGACCUGAGAGGAGGUGCAGGGGCCUGGUCUGAGGUCAGACCCCUCCGGGUUGGGACCUGCCACCUGCUCACCUGGUGCAGCCGCAGGACCCGCUCACCAGGUGGGGGUGCCUUUGAGUCCACGAGAGAGGGACACAGGCCACCAAAGGCGUUUCAGGGACAGACCAGAGAUGGGGGCCGGAGGAGGGAGGAAGGACCGUGAGUGAGGAAAGACGUUGGGGUGAUGGGCCGGAGGCCUGUCCUCUGGGGGGGGCGUCAGGAGGGGACGGCACGGGAGGGACGGGCCGAGAGGGCUGGUCACUGCAUGCGGCUCCCCUCCUGCCCAGGCCCCAGGACCUGGAGGGGGCGCCUCCCUCCCCACCGCCCCAGCAACCCCUCCUUCCUGUCUGCUCGUUUUGUGGCUCAGGAACGUGCAGGACAGAAAUAACCAACUGUCUCCUUCAAGUUCAGGCGGCCACUUGGGUCCUGUCUGGCCUCCAUCCCCUGAAAACACCCCACCUUAUCCUGGAGAGUUUUAUCUGAAGCAGAGAUUAUUUCCACUGUCAUAAACGUGAAAAAGCAAUCCGUUCGUGGUUUAACGGUUUCCAGGGAGGAUGAAGAAAGACCCCAAAGCCACGUAGGGCCGUCUUCCCCACGGGUGGCACCGUGCUCAUGGCUCUUCAUCGGGAACCGCUGGGAACCGCUGGGAACUGCUGGGAACGGGAGGCCCACGCCUCGGCCUUGGCGCUUAAAGCCUCCUGUGCCCUGAUUGGAAGAAGAAACUUGGCUUAGCGUUGGGUGAGAUGCUGGCGCACCUGGCCAAGGCCGCACCUGUUCUGCCGAGAGGCACCCUGCCCACCACCUCCCGGAGCAGCCUUGUAAACAUCUGUGGUUGGGUGGGGGUCGGGGGCUGGUGAAAAGCGGAGAGAGGAAUGCCGGCCGUCCUUCCCCCAGAGGCAGGUGCAGGGGCCCUGCUGGGUGUGGCCAGCCUGAGCCGGCCCUGCCCGCCCCCGCCCGGCUGCCGCCAGCCCCAGCCUGUCCACCAGGGGGCAGUGGUGCCUAACCGUGGCCGCUGGUCCCAGCGGGUCGGCCCCCAGGGUGGUGACCACAGAGCCUGGCGGCCCUUUAAGCCUCUGACACCUGGCAGGUCCAUGGCAGGGAGGCAAAGCCUUUGUGGAAAUGACGCUGCCUUCCCAACCUGCCCGGGAGGGGAGGGGUUGCAGUCACAUCCUGUGGCGUCUUGGCUCCAUUCCUCAGACAGAGCCACCAAGGUCCCUGCAGCAGGCUGGGCCUGGCUUCGACCCCAAGGCAGGCACUGAGUCCCUCGGUCCCUUCUCUGGUGACCUUCAGCUCGUUUGCCCCGCUGGAGCCGUCUGGCAGGACUGCUGCCCCUGGGGACGUUUCCUCUGGCCAGCCGGGUGGCACGUCUGGUCCAACGGGUGGGCAGCAGGGGCAGCUGCUGCGAGGCCAUGGCCGGAGGGGCUGGGUUUCCAUGUGGGCACUGCCUCCCAUCUGGUGUCUAAGCCGAGAAGCUCCUCCUUACCUGGGGGCGGCGGGCCCGGUCUAGGAACAACCUCACCCGGCCAGGAGCCCCCGAAGCGAGGGCGGGCCCUACUGCUGGACGGGCGAGGAGGUGGCCAGGCUGGCCCGCUCCGCCUUGCUGGCUCUCCAGCGUGUUCUGGAUGGUACGUGCCGGUGCCCUGGUGGUCAGGGUGUCUGGCUCGGCAGGGGUGUGCCUGGGAUGGAGGCUGCUCUCGGCGCCCCUGCGUGACCGCCGGCCGGGCCCCCUCGCCUGAACUGCGCGGGGCUCCUCAGAGGCUAAUAGCAGUAUCACUGUCCUAAUUCAUUAGACACGGGGAGACUUUAAAUUUCAUUUUUGUGCAGUUAUUUAAAAUUUAAAAUGAUAACGUCCAACUCAAUUAAAUGCCAGUUGAUCACUCCAAA